rnacentral:rRNA from 1 species
CCUACGGGAGGCAGCAGUGAGGAAUAUUGGUCAAUGGUCGGGAGACUGAACCAGCCAAGCCGCGUGAGGGAUGAAGGUACAGAGUAUCGUAAACCUCUUUUGUCAGGGAACAAAGGCGGGGACGUGUCCCCGGAUGAGUGUACCUGAAGAAAAAGCAUCGGCUAACUCCGUGCCAGCAGCCGCGGUGAUACGGGGGAUGCGAGCGGUAUACGGAUUUAUUGGGUUAAAAGGGUGCGCAGUCGGGCUGUUAAGUCAGCGGUCAAAGCCCGGGGCUCAACCCCGGCCCGCCGUUGAAACUGGCAGGCUCGAGUUGGAGAGAAGUAUGCGGAAUGCGCGGUGUAGCGGUGGAAUGCAUAGAUAUCGCGCAGAACUCCGAUUGCGAAGGCAGCAUGCCGGCUCCACACUGACGCUGAGGCACGAAAGCGUGGGUAUCGAACAGGAUUAGAUACCCCUGUAGUC